GUCUAUGGCCAUACCACCCUGAACGCGCCCGAUCUCGUCUGAUCUCGGAAGCUAAGCAGGGUCGGGCCUGGUUAGUACUUGGAUGGGAGCAGGGACGCACACUGCUGCUCGGGACA
rnacentral:rRNA from 1 species